rnacentral:rRNA from 1 species
AGGGAAACUUGGAUUAAUGCCCAUAGUAUAUGGACUUCUCCUGAAGUUUAUAUUAAACAUUUAUGGCUAUUAGAUGGGUAUGCGUCCUAUUAGUUAGUUGGUAAGGUAACGGCUUACCAAGGCAGCGAUAGGUAGGGGUCCUGAGAGGGGAGAUCCCCACACUGGUACUGAGACACGGACCAGACUCCUACGGGAGGCAGCAGUGAGGAAUAUUGGACAAUGGGCGAGAGCCUGAUCCAGCCAUGCCGCGUGCAGGAAGACUGCCCUAUGGGUUGUAAACUGCUUUUACAGAGGAAGAACCACCCCACGUGUGGGGGUUUGACGGUACUCUGCGAAUAAGGAUCGGCUAACUCCGUG